AUGACAUUUAGGAAGAGCGAACGUCCUACUGCAUACAAGGCCAACUCCAAAUUGCAGGCGAAGGUCUCUUGUUCAUGGAGUGAGGUUCCAGCCUGUUGUUACCAAUGGCGAUAUGCAGUUGCAGAUGCCAAGUCUAUCACAGAUAGCAUGGUUGAUAAUGACAAGCAAAUAAAGGUGUAUCUAUACAGUUCUGUUAUUGACUGCGGCUGCAGCUUUGCUCGUGAAGCGAAGAAUGAAAGCGGCCCAUCCAAGAGCUUUGCUUGUGUGUUGCGUCCUGCUGCUAAUCAAUCUCUCGUGAUCCACGCACGCGGCGUCUCUUGGCCGUGGCCGGGGCCCUCCCCUCUUGAUUUCUGGGAGCCGUCAGAUCUGAGCGAUUGGACGGAAAAGAAGCUAGAAGAUGGGGAGGGCGUCUAUCUGGGAGCUGAGGUCGCCGUCAAGAUUCCACUAUCAGUGGAUGUAGAAAUACACAGGGAGCAACCAGUCCAUGUACAGGGCCGCUCCCUCGUUGCUGACCGGCGGCCGGCAUGCCGGAUUCCCGGCCGCUGCCUUAAUCCUGGGCCCCGCCGGCCGGCGUAUCGCCGGUGGGGCACCCGGCCGCGCGCCCGCGUGCCUUCCCCCACAUACACCGACCGACCAUCACCGGUGUGUGUGCAUGCAUGGCCCCGGCCUCGGCCCCGAUGUACAUAUGUAAGCAUAUACUCUAUUCUCUAAAUAUUUUACG
rnacentral:lncRNA from 1 species